CCGCGCUGCGAGUCCGCAGGGCAGGACGGAGCCUGCUCGUGAGGUUUCCUUCCCGUCUCCUGCGUUUUCUGGGCAGCCAGGCUACCCAGGGGACGAAAAGUUGCAGCAAACGGUCAAUUUCAUAGGCCAUUCUCCUCGGGGUUCCUCCCUGCAAAGACUUCCGAACUAAAAUAAUGAGAGGCCUUGUCCAUGUGGACCCUAAAUGCUGAUUGAGGAAUCGACAGAUGACGAGACAUCUUUGGUGUAAAAUAUCUUUUUAGUCCAGCAGUCCACGUAAAACCAGUCGAAGCCAAAUGGUGAAGUUUGCCUGUCUGUUCCGGACGGAAUAUUGUCCCUUACUACUCACAGGCUGCAUCCUUCCUGCCUUUCACCUCUGAGUUUAAAUGUCACCUUGGACAGAAGUCUUGCCUGACCAGUCCAAAAGAGAUUCUCUAAGCUCUGCUACCCAAGUGAUGAUGACACCAUGAGGAUAAUGAAAAGACAACUCACAAAAUGGGAUAAAAUGUUUGUGAAUCACGUAUCUGAUGAAGGACCAGCAUCCAGGAUAUUACAAAGAACACCUACAAUGAAAAGAUGAACAACCCACUUUAAAAAUGGGCAAAGGAUCUCAACACACAUUUCUCCAAAGAAGACACAUGAGUGAGUGUAACAGGGUGCAGCCAAGAGGGGAGCCCCAAAUGGGGAUCUGUAAUAAGGUCCAGAAGGGCUUGGAGAUAAUUGGCCCCACACCACAGGGCACACCUGCCCAGAAUGCGGGCAGCUGUGGCCAAUUGUGGGAGGAGCCGGAAAUGGGGCUGCAGAGGAAGAUCAGCUCUGGGAUUUAAACAGAGGCACGGCAGCCAUUGGGCGUCUCUCUUUUUGAGGGACCACGCGUCUGUUUAGAACCACGCGACUUUGGUGUCUUGGUUGGGACCGUGAGGCUUGGGUGAGAGUCAGGACCAUGAGGCUUUGGAAGUGCUGUCUCU